GAGAGCACAGUAUGAUGAAAGUUGUAAGCUGUGUUCGGGGGAGAGUUAUUGUCUAUCAUUAGCCUCUAUGGUAGAAUCAGUCGGGGGGCCCGAAAGGCGGUGGUUUACCCUGU
rnacentral:ncRNA from 1 species